UACGUAGGGUGCGAGCGUUGUCCGGAAUUACGGGGCGUAAAGGGCGCGUAGGCGGCAAUUCAAGUCAGCUGUGAAAUCUCCGGGCUUAACUCGGAACGGUCAGCUGAUACUGCUUUGCUAGAGUGCAGAAGGGGCAACCGGAAUUCUUGGUGUAGCGGUGAAAUGCGUAGAUAUCAAGAGGAACACCUGAGGUGAAGACGGGUUGCUGGGCUGACACUGACGCUGAGGCGCGAAAGCUAGGGUAGCAAACGGG
rnacentral:rRNA from 1 species